CGGUUGAUCCCGCCGGACCUGACUGCUAUCGGAUUGAUACUAAGCCAUGCGAGUCAUUGUAGCAAUACAAGGCAGACGGCUCAGUAACGCGUAGUCAACCUAACCUAUGGACGGGAAUAACCUCGGGAAACUGAGAAUAAUGCCCGAUAGAACACUAUACCUGGAAUGGUUUGUGUUCCAAAUGAUUUAUCGCCGUAGGAUGGGACUGCGGCCUAUCAGUUUGUUGGUGAGGUAAUGGCCCACCAAGACUAUUACAGGUACGGGCUCUGAGAGGAGUAGCCCGGAGAUGGGUACUGAGACACGGACCCAGGCCCUAUGGGGCGCAGCAGGCGAGAAAACUUUGCAAUGUGCGAAAGCACGACAAGGUUAAUCCGAGUGAUUUGUGCUAAACGAAUCUUUUGUUAGUCCUAGAACCACUAACGAAUAAGGGGUGGGCAAGUUCUGGUGUCAGCCGCCGCGGUAAAACCAGCACCUCAAGUGGUCAGGAUGAUUAUUGGGCCUAAAGCAUCCGUAGCCGGCUCUGUAAGUUUUCGGUUAAAUCUGUACGCUUAACGUACAGGCUGCCGGGAAUACUGCAGAGCUAGGGA
rnacentral:rRNA from 1 species